AAAUCAACACAAAAUUCCUAAAUAAAAAUGAAACUCUACUUCCUAAAUAAUAGUUAAAUUCUUAAACAAUAUAAACUUCCUAAUUUAAAUUUCCUAAUUUAACCAUGGUUUUAAAUAACAAUUGUCACGUUACUUAACAGCCAUUAUUUAAAGAUUUUUUGGUUGACUGUUACCUUUACAAUCGUUAUUUGCUAGAUUUUAAAAUUUGUAACAAUAAAGGUUGUUACGGCCAUUAUUUAAAGAUAAUGGCCGUUACUGACCGUUAAGUAACGACCAUGAUGGCUAUUACAUUUCCAACUAAGAAUUUUUGGCUUUUUUUUUUUUUAAUCUCUUUCACAUGAAAUACAGUAGACGAAACCUUUUUUUGGGCAAAAAACUCUCAAUUUUCCCCACAACCAAUUCAAUUGAAAUUCUUCAUUUCUCUACAAAUUUUUGAGUUCAAGAGUAUGGAUUAUCAAACAGACAAGGUAAUUUUGAAGUAAAG
rnacentral:misc_RNA from 1 species